CGGAGUGUGGUGUAACGGCUAACAUUCUCGCUUUGGGAGCGAGCGACUCAGGGUUCGAAUCCCUGCACUCCGA
rnacentral:tRNA from 1 species